rnacentral:rRNA from 1 species
UCCAGACUCCUACGGGAGGCAGCAGUGAGGAAUAUUGGUCAAUGGGCGCGAGCCUGAACCAGCCAAGUCGCGUGAGGGAGGACGGCCCUACGGGUUGUAAACCUCUUUUGCCGGGGAGCAACGGGCGUCACGUGUGGCGCCACUGAGAGUACCCGGAGAAAAAGCAUCGGCUAACUCCGUGCCAGCAGCCGCGGUAAUACGGAGGAUGCGAGCGUUAUCCGGAUUUAUUGGGUUUAAAGGGUGCGUAGGCGGAUCGUUAAGUAAGUGUUAAAAUUGGGGGCCUCACCCCCUCCCCGCCAUUGAAACUGGCGUUCUUGAGUGGAAGAGAAGUAUGCGGAAUGCGUGGUGUAGCGGUGAAAUGCAUAGAUAUCACGCAGAACCCCGAUUGCGAAGGCAGCAUACCGGCGCCCAACUGACGCUGAAGCACGAAAGCGUGGGUAUCGAACAGGAUUAGAUACCCUAGUAA